rnacentral:ncRNA from 1 species
CGAGGUCUUGGUCUUAAACCCCUUGUUGCCUCUACCCUUAUUUAUACAUGCAAGCCUCAACAUGACAGUGAAAUAACCCCUGCCAAAUAGGAAAAGACAUCAGAGUUUACUCUACCCUCACGUCAAGCAAAAGCCACACCCCCACGGGCAUGCAGCAGUACUUAGUAUUGGGCUAUAAGUGAAAACUUGACCCAGUAAAGGGCCUACCAGGGCUGGUUAAUGUCGUGCCAGCGACCGCGGUUACACGACAAACCCAAGAUAACACCCCCGGCGUAAAGCACGACUAAAAUAUAGACAAGCAUUAAGGAAGAACUUCACUAGGCUGUAAAAAGCCAUAAGCAACAAGAAUCCCCCACCUUAAACCAGAACUAAUUCCACUCGUGAAAGUUGAGAUACAAACUAAGACUAGAUACCUUAUUAUGCCCAACUGUAAUACAACAAUUAAACCACAAAUUGUUCGCCAAAUAACUACGAGUAAAAACUUAAAAUUUAAAAGACUUGACGGUACUUCACAACAACCUAGAGGAGCCUGUCCUAUAACCGAUAACCCACGAUUAACCCUACCCCCCCUGGCCUACAGUCUAUAUACCGCCGUCGCCAGCCUACCUUGUGAAAGAAAUAAAGUAAGCUAAACAACACACAUUAACACGACAGGUCGAGGUGUAACUAAUGGGGCGGAGAAAGAUGGGCUACAUUUUCCACCAGGAAUAUACGAAUGCGAUUACGAAAGAUUAGCCGCUGAAGGCGGAUUUAGCAGUAAGAUAAGAAUAAAAUGCCUAACUGAAAUAUGCAAUGAAGUGCGUACACACCGCCCGUCAUCCCUGCAGUAUUAUCAAAAAAAUACAUAAUGAACACCACACCCAAACCAGGGCAAGUCGUAACAUGGUAAGUGUACUGGAAAGUGUACUUAGUAACAA